rnacentral:antisense_RNA from 1 species
AGGAGCUGCCGCAGGCUGCGAUCUUUUGAUUUUGUUUUUUCGAAAGCAAGAUCAAAAGAUCGCAGCCUGCGGCAGCUCAU